rnacentral:rRNA from 1 species
UGCAGUCGUACGAGAACAUGUCCUUCGGGGCAUGGAGUAAAGUGGCGCACGGGUGAGUAACACGUGGGUAACCUGCCCUGGGGCUCGGGAUAACCGGCCGAAAGGCCUGCUAAUACCGGAUGAGACCACAUGAACUCCGGCUCAAGGGGUCAAAGUCGGCCUCUCGACGAAGCCGACACCACAGGAUGGGCCCGCGGACCAUUAGCUUGUUGGUGAGGUAACGGCUCACCAAGGCAAAGAUGGUUAGCUGGUCUGAGAGGAUGAUCAGCCACACUGGAACUGAGACACGGUCCAGACUCCUACGGGAGGCAGCAGUGAGGAAUAUUGCGCAAUGGGGGAAACCCUGACGCAGCAACGCCGCGUGGGUGAAGAACGCCUUCGGGUUGUAAAGCCCUGUCAGGCGGGAAGUAACCUCUGCAGGUGAAUAAUCUGCGCAGCUGACUGUACCGCCAAAGGAUGACCGGCUUUAUCCGUG